CUGGCGGCGUGCUUAACACAUGCAAGUCGAACGAAGCAGGAGGGUGCUUGCACCUUCCUGACUGAGUGGCGGACGGGUGAGUAACACGUGGAUAAUCUGCCCUGCACAGGGGGACAACAGCUAGAAAUGGCUACUAAUACCGCAUAAGCCUACAGCCUCGCAUGAGGGAGUAGGAAAAGAAAUUCGGUGCAGGAUGAGUCCGCGUCUGAUUAGCUAGUUGGAGGGGUAAGAGCCCACCAAGGCAACGAUCAGUAGCCGGCCUGAGAGGGCGACCGGCCACAUUGGGACUGAGACACGGCCCAAACUCCUACGGGAGGCAGCAGUGGGGAAUAUUGCACAAUGGGGGGAACCCUGAUGCAGCGACGCCGCGUGAGCGAGGAAGUAUUUCGGUAUGUAAAGCUCUAUCAGCAGGGACGAAAAAAGACGGUACCUGACUAAGAAGCCCCGGCUAACUACGUGCCAGCAGCCGCGGUAAUACGUAGGGGGCAAGCGUUAUCCGGAUUUACUGGGGGUAAAGGCAGCGUAGACGGCAAGGCAAGCCAGAAGUGAAAGAGCAGGGCUCAACCCUGUACAUGCUUUUGGAACUGUGGUGAUAGAGUGCAGGAGAGGUAAGUGGAAUUCAUAGAGUAGCGGUGAAAUGCGUAGAUAUUAGGAGGAACACCAGUGGAGAAGGCGGCUUACUGGACUGUAACUGACGUUGAGGCUCGAAAGCGUGGGGAGCAAACAGGAUUAG
rnacentral:rRNA from 1 species